UACUACAACUUCGAAAAUUUUGACAAGUAUACAUAAAAUCUAUGUUGUUUUAUAGAAUUCAAAACAUCAUAUGUAUUCCACGAAGGAAAUGGUAUAGCUAAUUGUCGAUUGACUUUACACAUUAGAGCUAAUAAAUUUCUUUGUAUAUAGAUGAUGAAUUAUCGAUAGAAAUAUUUGUGUUUAUUUACAUAGAUGAUAAAUUAUAUUUUAAUUUCGAUAUAAACAAUUUUUUUUAUCUGCAUUGCAUCAUUAAACCUUAAUCUGAAGUUUGGAAAAGAAAAAAAAGCUUUAGAAAGGGAUUUUGGAAAAAAAAAAAAAAAACCUUAGAAAGAAAACCUGAAUCUCCAUUACAUAU
rnacentral:lncRNA from 1 species